UCCUGACCUCGGAUCAGACGUGAAUACCCGCUGAACUUAAGCAUAUCACUAAGCGGAGGAAAAGAAACUAACAAGGAUUCCCUCAGUAACGGCGAGUGAACAGGGAAAAGCCCAGCACCGAAGCCUGUGGCCAUUUGGUUACUAGGCAAUGUGGUGUUCAGGUUGUUCCGCGAAGGUACUGCUCCAUUCCAAGUCCAGCAAUGAGUACGGUAAUGCUGACAUGGCCCAAAGAGGGUGAAAGGCCCGUUGGGGUGGAGGUGCAGAAAUGACAGUGCCUUCCUGGAUAGACCUUGGAGUCGGGUUGUUUGUGAAUGCAGCCCAAAGUGGGUGGUAAACUCCAUCCAAGGCUAAAUACUUGCACGAGUCCGAUAGCGAACAAGUACCGUGAGGGAAAGUUGAAAAGUACUUUGAAGAGAGAGUAAACAGUGCGUGAAACCGCUCAGAGGUAAACGGGUGGAGUUGAACUGUGAGCUCUGUGAAUUUAGCUGGUGAGUGUGGUUUGAGCUUGGUCAAAUUGGUUGAUAUUUGGGGUCUGCGAAGCAGCAGGUCCUCACCUUUUGGUGGGGAUGCGCGAUACACUUAUCAAGUGUUGCGCGCCCCGGUUUAUUCGGGCCAACUUGCCAGUGCACUUUCGCAGAGUGGUCACCACGACCGGCAUCGCUGUCUUGCUGUUGCGGUUAAACCGGCUGCACACUGUCCUCGUGACUUUGUGGAGUCGGGAUGGCAGGUAGCUCGUUGGCUGGCUUGUAGCUUGCUGCAGGCAUUCGGUCCUCGGGUGUAAUCAGCUGACCGCAUCGGAUCCUGUGCAGUAUGUCGGAGACGGCGGCUUGUGGUGUGUGCGUGCGUUCCGGUUGACUGGCGUGUCCGAGUUUGGUUGUUAUCUUGCCUGUGUUCACAGGGCUAAUGAUGGCUCGGAUGCGUUCGGUUGGCGGUUGCGUGCGUGUCACUAUUUCCAGGGCCAACAGUCUGUGGUGUUGCGGUAGACUAUCCACCUGACCCGUCUUGAAACACGGACCAAGGAGAGUAACAUGUGCGCGAGUCAUUGGGCGUAACGAAACCCAAAGGCGAAGUGAAAGUAAAGGUCCGGCUUGCCUGGACUGAGGUGAGAUCCUGUCGUUUCUCAUGCGCGUAUCACCAAGUAUUGAGCGACAGGCGCAUCACCGGCCCGUCCCAUGGUGUGGUGACCCUGUGUACAGAGUUUGUCACCGGGGCGGAGCAUGAGCGCACAUGUUGAGACCCGAAAGAUGGUGAACUAUGCUUGCGCAGGUUGAAGCCAGAGGAAACUCUGGUGGAGGACCGCAGCGAUUCUGACGUGCAAAUCGAUCGUCAGACGUGAGUAUAGGGGCGAAAGACUAAUCGAACCAUCUAGUAGCUGGUUCCCUCCGAAGUUUCCCUCAGGAUAGCUGGUGUUCAGAGAUAUAAACAGUUUUAUCCGGUAAAGCGAAUGAUUAGAGGCCUUGGGGGCGAAACGUCCUCAACCUAUUCUCAAACUUUGAAUGGGUGAGAAGCCUGACUCGCCCAAACGGAGUCAGGCGUUGAAUGUGAAUGCCAAGUGGGCCAUUUUUGGUAAGCAGAACUGGCGCUGUGGGAUGAACCAAACGUCCGGUUAAGGUGCCUAACGCGACGCUCAUCAGAUACCACAAAAGGUGUUGGUUGGUCUAGACAGCAGGACGGUGGCCAUGGAAGUCGGAACCCGCUAAGGAGUGUGUAACAACUCACCUGCCGAAUCAACCAGCCCUGAAAAUGGAUGGCGCUGGAGCGUCGGACCUAUACCGGACCGUCACUGCAAGCUGAGUCGAUAAUGUGUGGUGUGAGGGCAAGUCACACGACUCAGGCAUGGAAUGGUGGUGACGAGUAGGAGGGUCGCCGUGGUGAGCGGGAAGCUUCGGGCGUGAGCCUGAGUGGAGCCGCCACGGGCGCAGAUCUUGGUGGUAGUAGCAAAUAUUCAAGUGAGAACCUUGAAGGCCGAGGUGGAGAAGGGUUCCAUGGGAACAGCAGUUGGCCAUGGGUCAGGCGGUCCUAAGUGAUCCGUUAACUCGGAACAGAGACGGGGUGCCUGACAUUGUCAGGAUUGCUGCUGAUGUACUGUUGCAAGGCAGCCCCCUGUAGCGAAAGGGAAUCGGGUUAAUAUUCCCGACCCUGCCCACGGAGAUUGAUACAUUCUGGUCCCGCACCGGUUUGUGUCUAGCGCGGUAACGCAACCGACCUCGGAGACGUCGGCAAGAGUUCUGGGAAGAGUUCUCUUUUCUUUAUUAGGAGCGCAUCAUCCCCUGGAAUCGGGUUGUCCGGAGAUAGGGGACUAGCCUCCGUAAAGCACCACAUUUCUUGUGGUGUCCAGAACGCUCUUGUCGGCCCUUGAAAAUCCGAGCAAGGCAAUAUAAUUUUCGUGGCAGGCCGUACCCAUAUCCGCAUCAGGUCUCCAAGGUGAACAGCCUCUGGCAAUUGAACAAUGUAGGUAAGGGAAGUCGGCAAACUGGAUCCGUAACUUCGGGAAAAGGAUUGGCUCUGAGGGCCGAGUCAAAUGGGCUGUAGUCAGAUACGUGUUGGUCCAGUUGGAGGCUGGUUUUUCUGUUGCUGCGCCUGCUUCGGUGGGUGUGGUUGAUGGGAUUACUGGACUCUGACCAGGCCGAUCGUGGGCGAUUUCAGCUGUAGUGCUGCAUUGCUGGCAGCGUGCAUGGGUAACUGUGUGCGUGUCGACGGCAUUGCUUCCUUCGUUUGGCGCUCAACGGCUAGCUCAGAACUGGCACGGACCAGGGGAAUCCGACUGUCUAAUUAAAACAAAGCAUUGCGAUGUCCGCUGAC
rnacentral:rRNA from 1 species